AUGAAAUGAAGGAUGAAAUUGAGUAAUGGGAAUGGUUUUGAGGCCCUGUCUCCCUUGAGAAAGCUCCUGAAUUGAUUUAUUAGAACACUAAUAUCCAGGAGAGACCUGGGACUCUCAGAGGAUAAGUGACUUGCUAACUUUCAGAGUUGGGAUUUGGACCCAGAUCUCUGACUCAAAAGCUUGAUCACUUUCCACUCAAGAGGGAGGCACACAUGUCGACAGACAAACAGCCCACAGCAAGAUAUUAACUAAGGACCCACCGUGCACACCACACUAUCAGGCAGGCAGAGGUGAGUAAACCUUUGCCCUCAAGGAUCUCAUGGCCAAGCAAGGAAGCCAAGACCUGUCUCAAUAGCUGUAACAUACGGUAGAAGAUGAUAACACCUGAAGGAAGUGCUGAGCGAAAGCUAUGGGACUUCAGAAGAGGGUUAUUUCCAAUUCUCUGUUAUUGCAAACAAAGCUGGAACGCCCUCUGUACGUGUGCUGCAGUCUCCAGAAUAGACGACUGGAAAUGGCAUCCUGUGGCUUAUACUCGUCUGCACCUUUGUUAGGUAUUGCCUAAUUGAUUAUCAGAACAUUUGGACCAAUUUACUCCCACGAGCAAUAUUUCUGUCUAUCAGACAAGCGGCGGACCCCACAGAGGACAUGUGGCACAGGCCUGUGUCCACCUGCAGGUGUCAGGGAACGCAUGCGGUGCCUCAGGUUCUGCCCAGGUCACGAGGAGGUGUGCUCGGGCCAGGCACAGCUCGCACGAUAUGUGUUGUGUGCAGGAGAGGGACUGCGCAUCUCCUGUGACCUCACACGUCUGCAGAGGAGCAUGGAGGAAUCAGGAUCAUCGGAGCAAGCUGACUGUGUGGGAUCCCUAACUGGGAGCCCUGACAAGAGAUUAGAGGCAGAGAGGAGACAGCAGCUGGGAGAAAGACACACAGACACACGAUUCCACAGGCUUUUCCAGACUAUCAGAGGGUGUGUAGCAUAAAGAAGAUGAACAAUGCCUUGUGGACCCACCCGCCACCUGGGGUUCCCACGGUGUUGCAGAGAACGGCAUUGCCCUGCUUCACCGCUCUUGCAAGGAUCCUGGUUACCGGGGCGCUUCCCAGCUCUUGGAGAAGCAGAGAACCUCCCCAUUUUCAUCGAGAUGCAGAGGGCGCCGAGGACUGAGUUGGGGCAGGGACUGGAAGGAAACAUGCAGAUAAGGGGCCUGGGAUGAUAGGAGUCAUCGUUCAGGCAGAGCUGCCGCGGACACAUCCCUUCCUUGGUUGCUGCUAACAUAGACUCUCUCCUUGGUUGACCUCAUCCUGCAGCACUGGACACACUUUUGGGAGCUUCAGACCAAUACUUAGGUCUCUUCAUCCUUGCCCAGCUCUUUGGACACGGCACAGCCCUGAGCCAGCGGACUCAGCCGGUCAUCGCUUUGUCCUCAGCAUGUAACCCUCCGUGGAGCAGACGGUCGACCCUGAGACGUUGGAUCCCUCAUCGUACAGCCCAGGGACCAACGCCUCUGACAAGCUGAGGACCCCCCCAAUAGUCAUGCUGGAUCCCUGCAAAAGGGCACUGAAGAGAGGGGAGGAGUGGAGGCUGAAAUCGCGCCUCUCUUCCCUGUGGACUGUGCGUCUCUUCUAAUCACACAAAGAUCCUGCAUAGCAGAAGCCCUGAGCCAGAACGGCCGGCGGUGCUCCCCACCCAUUCGUGAGUCCUCUAGGUGUUUCACUGUGUAGUGUAACCUUCAUAAAAUCAUGGUCUCAGGCUUAGGGGGUGCGGAAGCUCUGCAUGGUACCUAGUCUUCUGUCCCCAGCCUCAAAUGUCAUCUAAAUCCCCUGUGAACAAAGCAUACGUGCAGGUCCUGCAGCAAUCUCUCUCUCUCUCUCCUUCUUACUAACUCAUUGCUUGCCGUGUCCUCAUGGAUCAGCCAAGAAAUAAAUAUACACUGUCUUUAGUCGUUUAUCGAAUUCAUAAUAUCACUGGUAGACGUAAUCAACAGGAAAUAAAACUGAAAACAACUGCUUAUACCAAAACAUUGAAAAGUUUGUUUUUAGGUAAACAUUAAAAAAUAAAAAUCUUCUAGACAAAAUUAAGGCUUGUAGAGUUUGAGUCAGAAAAUCUGGACUUGAUAGAAACAAUAGCAAUACAAGAAAAUCCACAGUGGGUGUAUCAGCGAGGCAUUUUCAGUUACAAGGAACAGAAAGUUCAACUAAACUGGCUAAAACGGGGAGCGGGAGAGGACUUAACGGCUUGUAUA